GAUGCCUGAAGGCUUGUGUAUCAUUGAAUUGUUGACCCAGCUAGAGUGAUUGGCUUUAUCUGAGAAAGCAAACCAUGGAUAACUCUCCUCGAGGGAUGAGAUUAUGCAGAGGGUCUAGAGACAGGUGAACAACUUGCAGCAGGCAAUGAACCGAGUGCAGGGGCAGCUGAAUACCAUGCAAGUCCAGUUUGUUGAGUUGCAGAGUGCCGUCUCUCAGCUCCUUGAUGACAUGCCUGUAGCAUCUGAAAGGGAGGGGAUCUUCCAGACAGACAGCAUCCCUGUGCAGAAGCAGGGGAUCCCCACAACAGGGACCUUCCAGAGCAAGGGGAUCCCCACCACAGAGACCUUCCAAAAGGAGGGGAUCCUCCCCACAGGAACCAAUGAACAAAUA